AUUAGCUUUGCCCUCGAGAAUCGGCGCUGGAAUUCUGAGAAAACCCACCCUGAGCUUACGCUCGCAAAAACCGUAAACCCCUAAACCCUCCCUUGUUUUUCACUCUCAUUUCAUAUCUUCUUCUCUCUUUGCCCAAUUUCAGAAAACGAUCUCCGUUCACUGAAUCAACAGCUGCAAAAUACCAACCAAUCUUUAUCAUUUAGAAUUGGAUUCGAGAUAUGAAAGAAGAAGAUGCAGGUCCACCAAAGAGAGAGCUUUACGCGGUGCUGCAAGUGUCGCCGGAGGCUACCGAUGAAGAAAUUAGAAAGGCUUAUCGCCACUGGGCCCAAGUCUAUCACCCUGACAAAUACCAAGACCUCCAUGUAUGCCCGUAAUUAAUGAAUGUGUACGAAGUCGAGUUUUGUUCAUUGCACUGUUGAUUCUUCUUAAUUUAUUUAUUUAUUUUAAAUUUUACUUAUUCGAGAUGUAUUGGUUCGUGUGUUUGUUAGCAGUGAUAAAAGUGGAGGGUGUAAUUAACUUGUUGUAUUCGAGGCAUUGCAGGUUUAGUUUUUGCUUAACUUGUUGAAUUAUGUUUCUGUUGCUUUAAGCUAAGAAGAACAAUUUUGAGUGUAGAAACGCUCAACCAAUUUCACUAGUUGCUUAAAGAACCUGGCAAGAAAUGUAAAGGGAGUUGAAGAAAAGUAAAAUGUUUCUCUGACCUAAUAUUUUUUUUCUAAUUACUUUUGACUUGCCCAAUGUGACAUGAGCUUAUUGAUAUAUCAUUCAGCAGUCACCAAUGAAUUCGGAUAGCGCUUGUUUGAUCAUAAACAAUUAAGUUCAUGCGUGUUCAUGUGUUCAUGUAUUCAGCAUUAUAAUAUAAGCAUUGAGUGGAGACCUUCUUAUACAUUAUAUAUUCUUAUGGUUUAGUAAUUGUAGACGUCCAUGUUCUUUCAUUCUAAAAUCGGAUAGACUGACUUGAACCAAUUAGUUGACUAAUGACAGUUAUUCACAUCUUCAUCCCUACUAGAUGGUUUUGACUUUGUUUAAGCAGUCAUUUUUUUGUCCCUUAUAAAUUGCACAUGUAAAUUUUUCAUGGCAAUGAAGUGGUAGAAUUACUAUGCCUUCCAUAUCUGUCCAUAUAGCUCCUUCAUGUCCCAUUUUGAUCCCUAAAAUGCAUGAUUUCCAUGGAUUCAUAUUCAUGGUUCUAAUUUCAGAAAUUUACCUCUUUGUUUCUUACCUCCUUUUUGGAUGCUUGUACUCAGAUGAAGGAAAUAGCUACACAAAAUUUUCAACGGAUAUGUGAGGCAUAUGAAGUAUUAUCGGAUGAGAAUAAAAGGCAAAUAUAUGACAUAUAUGGUAUGGAAGGUUUAACUUCAGGUUUGGAACUAGGUCCAAAGCUGAACAAACCAGAGGAGUUAAAGGAAGAACUUGAAAGGUUAAGACGAAAGAAAGAACAAGAAAAAAUGGCAGCACAUUUCCGACCAUCUGGUACAAUAUUGGCGAACUUAUCCUUGCCAAAGUUUCUGGAUGGUGAUGGCAUAAUGAGAGGAAUGGCUAUGUCUAGUGAAGUUCAUUCCAAAUUAUCAAAACACAAUACUAUUGCUAUUGGAGGAAAUUUGGAAGUUCAAGAAAGUUCUGGGGGUGCAGCGGCUAGUGCUGUGCUUAGGCAUCAGCUUUCUUCAGUUUCCUCCAUAGAAUUCAUAGCCUCAGCUGGUUUGCGAGCACUUAUUGGAGUGCAAACUACACGUCGCUUAUCUUUACACUCAACAGCAACAAUUACCAUUGCAAAGUCUUUGCGAGAUGGUUCAAUCAAUCUUUCCAAUUCUUGGACUCGGCAACUAUCUGAAACAGCAAAUGGAAAUAUACAGCUUUUUUUAGGUCCUGAAUCAUCUUUAGCAGUUGGAUGGCAGAAGAAGGAUGAAAAGAUGUCUGCUGCUGGAGAGUUGAAGAUUGGUACAAGUUCUUUUGGAGCAUCAGCUCAUUACACUCGUCAUUUUUCAUCAGUUUCUCAUGGUCGUAUUGCAGGCAGAUUUGGGAGCACUGCUCUGGAGAUUGAAGUUGGUGGUGGAAGAAAAGUAUCCAACUUCAGCACUGUCAGGAUGCUGUAUACAAUAGGAAUUCAGGGCAUCUUUUGGAAAUUUGAAUUGCAUCGUGGUGGACAAAAGUUGAUUAUUCCUAUAUUGCUUUCCAAGCAUUUGAAUUUGACUUUUGCAACGGGAGCAUUCCUAAUUCCUACAUCACUUUACUUUUUACUCAAGGUUAUUACUGAUGCUGCACUGUUAUUCUUCACUUGUAAGCUUGACAAGUUGGCUGUCUGAUUGUUGUUUUAGCUUCAUUUCCAUUUCAAAGAAAUUAGAGUUAUCGCAAAGAUGUCAGCUGAAUUAGAUAUGCUCAUUUAAAGUUCUCCUUAAGUUGAUGUAUACUCAGUUGAGCUCUGUCCCCUUUGUUCUUUGUUUCUUUCUUCCCCAGUUCAUCAGGAGCCCAAUAGGUUUUGUGUUGCACAACAUCCGUAUCACAUGAACCUUUCACCUUUCAUUCAAUUUGGGUUUUCUACAAUCCCCAAGUCAGCAUUCCAAGUUUAAACCAUUUAACUGUCCCUGUUGAGACACCCCUGUUUAUUUCUGUAGCUUAAUUUCAUUUCUUGAAUGAACAAUGUUUUUCCUUAUUCAUUUUCUGAUGUUUCUUUUUUUUUUUUUAUUGAAAUAUAAUUAAAUUCUCAAAUGUGCACGAGGUAUAAUUCUUGGCUUAAUGCGCAUGUCUUCCUAUUUUGUAUAAUAACCAUGGCUUGUGGAGAGUUGGGUACUUACUGUGACAGGAAGAUUUCAUUUUCAAGGUAUUUGGAUUGUACCUUUUUACAUUUGAUGAAAAUUUUGUAUCCCUUGAGUGAAAAGUUGGACUGAAUGUGUUCAGGUGGCUAUUUCUCAUGUCAAGCUAUCUUUGGCAACAUAAUUCAUUUAACACACAGCUUUUCCAUAGUGGUGAUCAUUGGCUUUUGCAUCUCAUUAUGAUGGGAUUCAUGUUCAUAAAUUGGCACUAUUUUUGCUUUUGUUAAUUUUUGCUGGAGGCCUUGGUCAUCACUUGACCAACAAACCCAACUUAGUUUUUUGGAAAUGUUUGUCAAAGUAGUCCUCCAAGUUAAUUGAAGUGUUUGAGCUUAGAAUUUGUGUCUUCAUCAUUGUUAAUUGUAUAUAAAUCUUCUAUGCAUGCAGAAAUUUGUGGUCAAACCUUACUACCUUCAAAGGGAAAAGCGGAAGGCUUUAGAGAAUAAAGAGAAAACUUCUGCCCAGGUACAAGAGGCAAGGGCAGCAGCAGAAAAAGCUCAACAGUUGUUACAAAAUGUGGCCAAUAGGAAAAGAAAUAGGCAAGUAGAAACAAAUGGAUUGAUUAUUACUAAAGCAGUGUAUGGAAGUGAAAAAGCUUUGAAGAAAGGAGAAGUAUUAAAAGAAGUAAAUGAUGAAUUAGCUUCUGAAGUCAUUGAUGUUACAGUGCCUCUAAAUUUCCUGGUUAAUGAUUCUGGGCAAUUGAAGCUUCAUGAGGGUGUAAAAAAGUCGGGCAUCAUGGGCUUCUGUGAUCCUUGUCCUGGAGAACCUAAGCAAUUAUAUGUGGAGUACACUUAUGGCGGCCAAAUAUUUGAGGUCAUGGUGGACGAUUACACAGCGUUGUCAAUGCCCCAAGAAUCCCAUAGGGUAUAAUUUUCACUAAUGCUUUAAUUGAAGACGCUGGUUGCCUCUUGCAAUUUUUGGGCAUGCCUCACGAGGUAACUGCUAUAUAGAUGAUGAUGACUCUACUCGUUUGGAAUUACAUGUCAAAUAAGGACACUUAUUUUUCUGGUGUAACUUGUCCUAACAAAAUCUUUCUAGGAUUUUUCUUUUUUCUUUUUUUAUAUAAAAAAUUUAUUGCAAAACAUUAAUCUUUUUGUCGUGAUUUGCUGCUGACCCACGUUCAGUUUUUGUUGGUCGUGAAAUGGUGGGUGAAGAGCUUGACCUUUGCCAUGCACAGUUGGUUUUGGAUUUGGAAGGGACACGCCAUACUGCUUCCAUAAUUUCAUCAAACUAGCUAGUUCCAACUAUGUUUACCCCCUUUUUCGUUGCAAGAUUCCAUUUAAAUUACAGUAGCAAAAAAUGAAUAGCCGUUGAUAACCCUGGAAGGUCAGAAAAUACCUAGUUCGUGUAACUUGACACAUUUUUAUUUUAAUUCAAAACAGGGAUAUGAACUGGUAACUUAUUUUGACAUUUUAACCAAGGUAAAAUAAUCCAUAAUAAUCCAUGAAGAUGAGAACCAAUUAAUUCAUUCUGUUAAGAAACAAGAGGACAAGCCUCAUAGUUUUGCCACUUGCACAUACGGAACACCAGCUCAAUUUUUUGUAUCAUUCUCUAGCGUUUUAGGAUGCCAAAGGGUUGUCCUUGUAUUUCAUCACCCAUGGACGCUAGGUAUUAGUGUUUUUCCAAUAGAUCCUGGUGAUUCUCAUUUUCAUUUUUAUCAGAAAUUGCAUUUGGUAAAGAUACAAACAUUGACGUAAAACCCAAACGUGUCUACUGCAAUGCAAAAUACUCUCUUAGGGUACAUUACGCUGCAUGAUCACCAAGCAUCUUUAAAAGCGACAAUGCUUAUGUGAAAGCAUGGCUUAUGGAAAGUUCGCCACUUGAUGGAUCAAAAGAUGCUUCGAUUACUGCAUAUCGAUAUUCACUAGCAGUUGAUCCAUUUGUUUUGACUGCCACUGGCUGUGCAAGAAGUUUCACCCCUUGCUUCCAGUAUCUCUCAUCUGCAUACAUAAUAUAACAUGAUAAGAAAAACAAUUAAUUACUUCGACUUUUAUUCUUUGAAAAAGGUUGCAUGGUACAAAUUUGAAGGGCAAGGGAGGUAAAGCAGCUGUGAUAGGCAUGUCAAGUUCCAAUUGAACUUCACUGACUGAAUAAUAAAGUAUACCUGGCCCAGUAGAUAACACCACAGAAUUGCUUGCAUCCAUUACCCAGUCAAUCCAUAGCACAAAUCCAUGGCACACCCCAGUCUCAGAAAAGUCAACCUGCGAAAAGUGCAAGUAUAUGCUAGGGAUACAAUAUAACCAUAUGCAAGGCAACCAUCCAUUUUCAUUGCUAGAUCAAUUAGACUUUUUCUUUUUUUCCUUCCUUUUAUGGUUGAGCUUAUUAAUCUAUAAUUACUAUUUUUAUUAUUUUACACUAGAAGUCUGUAAACUGACAUAGCAUACGUAUCAAGAUCAGUAAUAGCUAAAACCUAACAACAGCCAUUUGAAUCCCACAUAAAGCAUUUUAUAAAAAUAGAAAUACUUUUUCAUAUAUAGUCAUGUGCCCAUUCUCACAUAUUUCACAACCACAAUAAAUUUCUUUUGUAUUUGAUAACUAGAUUAAAGAUCUUAUCCAGGAUCAGUAUUACAGCAGAUAAGAGAGAAAAAUUUAAUACCUGGACUUUUCCAUAACAUGGACUUAUUGGUUUUGAGAAUUCAAACUCCAUGAUUGUCAAUCUCUCACUGAGUUCCUAAAAUUUCCAAUAUAGUUGCAUCAGUAACACAAAGUAGCCAUCAUUCUAGUCUUCUAGAAAACCAUCUUUCCAUAAACAGUAACUUUCUGUAAUUAAUUACCUUAAUCUCUCCACAUUGCCAGAUAAAAAAAGGCAGAAGUGGAGGAUCAUGUGGUGGAGGUAAUUCACCACAUGCCCCUAAGGUGGUAUUUACAAUAGAAUGAUCAAAGCCUUCAAUCUUACUUAAGCAGCAGCGGCUAUUCCAUAGAUCUGGAAGUGACAUGGCACAAGCCUUCAGUAAUGCUUUACAGGGCAUUAUUAAGACAUCAUUGGAGAGGACAGAGUCCAACACAGUCCUUUCCUUCCAAAAUCGCAGGUUUUGCCACGGAAGCAUUCCAUCAUUUCCAUAAUAGUAUGGCUCUCCAAUCAACAGAUCAACCUUCUUCUGAUUAGUAUCAUGCAGAGUUAAACAUUUCUUAUUUUGGAAAACUUUUACACGAUCAGCAGUGAAACCAUUUGCAUCAGCGACUCUCUGCAGAUAUUUGACACCCAUCUCUCGCAACCCAGGAAACAAAGAUAUCACAUGUGCAGUUUUUGAAAGAUUUGCAACAAUAAGUGUUAGAAAAAUACUAUCAUCUGCAACAACACACAAUGGUUGAACUCUUUCCUGCAAGGCAUUUCUUAGAGCUGUUAACAUGGAAAACCUCCAUUUACUAUCUCCAUAGAUUGCAAUCCUCUCAGGAGGUAGUAUAAGGUGAAAAUCCCCAGAGACAUGGUUAUACUGCCCCAACUCAGUAUGUUCGGUUGCAAGAUUAUAGAAGACACUGGUAUCAGUAUGAAUAGCACGAAAAAGAAGUUGCUCACCCUUGCCUACACAUAUGCCUUUCCCUGGAAGGAACCACACACAUUGCUUUUGUUAUCCAUCGAGGGGCAGUGGAAUAAAAGAUUGUCCCUUCAUGAUCAAGCUGCAGCAUCCACCAUGAUAAUAUAGCAUGAACUCUACCAUCAUCAAUGGCCUUGAUGAGCAGCUCAGAUUCCCGAUGGCUGUCUGGUCGUUUCCAGAAGUCAAAUUCAAAAAUUUUGAAGGGUUCUGACAGCUGGAUGAAUCCUAAGUUGAGUGGGACUUAAACCACUUGUAUUCCCCAAGAUGUCAGUAGAAAAGUGAUUAUUGUCAUUACCAGUUUUAUUUCUUUUGAGAUUGCAUCACAGUGCAUGGGAUGUUGCUGCAAUUUGACACGUAAAAUAGUAUCCAUGCCAGUUGGAAGAAGACGAACGCCAUCUGAUGCUUUUGCUUCAUGAUCAUAUAAAUCAUGCAGCUUCCACAGGAAUGUACUUUCAACCAGCUGGCCAUACGUUGUCGCUCGAUAUGGUACAGUUAGUGGAUUUUCCACCAGCAGCAUGUCAUGUGCAUGUUGCAGAGUCGGAAUUAACCCUUCACCCAGUAACUCUGAGUCUAGUAUCUCACUAACCAGAACAUCUGCACGCGAAGGAAUGUCCACACCGACUUUGAGUUCAUCAGAGCGCCUGCUGAUUACAUUUAUGUUCCUACCCAUACUAUUGAGGUGCAGAACUUUUCGCAUCAAUUUUACCAUUGGAAGAUAAGACUCGCAAGCUGUUACCAUCCCCUUGGUAUCGGCAGAAGUUGGCUCACCAGAACCCAUUGCCCGUGCAGCCAUCAUUGACAGCAACCCAGUUCCAGCACCAAUGUCCAGCACAUGGCAAGGUUUCGUUAUAGUCUUGUCGAUAGCGUCCCGGAAUGCUCUGUUUCUCGUGGAGUCAUUGAGCAUGUCCAAAUAUGACGUCGUAGCCAAGAGAUUCUUAUGGGAAUUUCCGAAGGCUUCUUCUUCGUCUUCUCUGAUUACAACCCACUCUGAGUUACCCGUGAGGGGGUCGACCUUGAGCUGGAAAACUUGCUGUGAUGACUCGGAGCUCAUGGGUCGGACUCUAGUGAAUGGUUUUGAGUGAGAAGUCAGAGCAAAUUGGGCUAUGCGGAGUAGAGAAGAAGAGGGGUCUAUUAGGGCUUUGAAUAUUAGAGAAAUCAUUAGAAUGAUUGUGAAGUCAGAAGUGAUCGCCGGAUGGAUGGUGACG
rnacentral:misc_RNA from 1 species